AUGAUUGCCACCGGCCACCAUGACUGCAGCCAACAUCAGUCCAAAUCGCAACGGCCUCCCUGUGGGAGGUGCUCAGUGCUGGGGUCUGUCAGAGGAGUGUUCACAGGGCAAACAUCUCCAGAAACGGCAUCAGUCCCUUUCGUUGAUGCUCACAAUGGUGCUGUCCAGGA
rnacentral:lncRNA from 1 species